GAUGAAGAACGCAGCAAAAUGCGAUACUUGGUGUGAAUUGCAGAAUCCCGUGAACCAUCGAGUUUUUGAACGCAAGUUGCGCCCGAAGCCUUUUGGCCGAGGGCACGUCUGCCUGGGCGUCACGCAUCGUGUCGCCCCCCACAAAUUCUCCGUCAGGGGAGCUUGUGUUUCGGGGGCGGAUACUGGUCUCCCGUGCUCAUGGCGCGGUUGGCCGAAAUAGGAGUCCCUUCGAUGGACGCACGAACUAGUGGUGGUCGUAAAAACCCUCGUCUUUUGUUUCGUGCCGUUAGUCGCGAGGGAAGCUCUUCAAAAACCCCAACGCGUCGUCUCUUGACGGCGCUUCGACCGCGACCCCAGGUCAGGCGGGACUACCCGCUGAGUUUAAGCAUAUCAUAAGCGGAGGA
rnacentral:misc_RNA from 1 species